rnacentral:rRNA from 1 species
AUUGAACGCUGGCGGCAGGCCUAACACAUGCAAGUCGAGCGAGCGGCGGACGGGUGAGUAAUGUAUGGGGACUGCCCGAUAGAGGGGGAUAACUACUGGAAACGGUAGCUAAUACCGCAUACUAUCGGAUAACCCAUAUGGGAUUAGCUAGUAGGUGAGGUAAUGGCUCACCUAGGCGACGAUCCCUAGCUGGUCUGAGAGGAUGAUCAGCAACACUGUGGCUGAGACACGACCCGAACUCCUACGGAGGCAGCAGUGGGGAAGAGUGCACAAUGGGGGCAAGCCUGAUGCAGCCAUGCCGCGGGUAUGAAGAAGGCCCUAGGGUUGUAAAGUACUUUCAGUCGGGAGCCGUUACCGACAGAAGAAGCACCGGCUAACUCCGUGCCAGCAGACGCGGUAAUAC